GUCCUAAGGUAGCGAAAUUCCUUGUCGGGUAAGUUCCGACCUGCACGAAUGGCGUAAUGAUGGCCAGGCUGUCUCCACCCGAGACUCAGUGAAAUUGAACUCGCUGUGAAGAUGCAGUGUACCCGCGGCAAGACGGAAAGACCCCGUGAACCUUUACUAUAGCUUGACACUGAACAUUGAGCCUUGAUGUGUAGGAUAGGUGGGAGGCUUUGAAGCGUGGACGCCAGUCUGCGUGGAGCCAACCUUGAAAUACCACCCUUUAAUGUUUGAUGUUCUAACGUAGACCCGUGAUCCGGGUUGCGGACAGUGUCUGGUGGGUAGUUUGACUGGGGCGGUCUCCUCCCAAAGAGUAACGGAGGAGCACGAAGGUUAGCUAAUCCUGGUCGGACAUCAGGAGGUUAGUGCAAUGGCAUAAGCUAGCUUGACUGCGAGCGUGACGGCGCGAGCAGGUGCGAAAGCAGGUCAUAGUGAUCCGGUGGUUCUGAAUGGAAGGGCCAUCGCUCAACGGAUAAAAGGUACUCCGGGGAUAACAGGCUGAUACCGCCCAAGAGUUCAUAUCGACGGCGGUGUUUGGCACCUCGAUGUCGGCUCAUCACAUCCUGGGGCUGAAGUAGGUCCCAAGGGUAUGGCUGUUCGCCAUUUAAAGUGGUACGCGAGCUGGGUUUAGAACGUCGUGAGACAGUUCGGUCCCUAUCUGCCGUGGGCGCUGGAGAAUUGAGGGGGGCUGCUCCUAGUACGAGAGGACCGGAGUGGACGCAUCACUGGUGUUCGGGUUGUCAUGCCAAUGGCAUUGCCCGGUAGCUAAAUGCGGAAAAGAUAAGUGCUGAAAGCAUCUAAGCACGAAACUUGCCCCGAGAUGAGUUCUCCCUGACUCCUUGAGAGUCCUGAAGGAACGUUGAAGACGACGACGUUGAUAGGUCGGGUGUGUAAGCGUAGCGAUACGUUGAGCUAACCGAUACUAAUGAACCGUGAGGCUUAACCUU
rnacentral:rRNA from 1 species